rnacentral:rRNA from 2 species
AGAGUUUGAUCCUGGCUCAGAACGUACGCUGGCGGCACGCCUAACACAUGCAAGUCGAACGAAGUAGCAAUACUUAGUGGCAGACGGGUGAGUAACAUGUAGGUAUCUGCCCUUUGGCCUGGAAUAACACGAGGAAACUUGUGCUAAUACCGGAUAAGUCUUUACGGAGAAAGCUUUAUGCACCAUUGGAUGAGCCUGCACUUGAUUAGUUUGUUGGUGGGGUAAUGGCCUACCAAGACUGUGAUCAAUAGCUGAUUUGAGAGGAUGAUCAGCCACAUUGGGACUGAGACACGGCCCAAACUCCUACGGGAGGCAGCAGUGGGGAAUCUUGCACAAUGGAGGAAACUCUGAUGCAGCGAUGCCGCGUGAGUGAAGAAGGCCCUUGGGUUGUAAAGCUCUUUCGUCGGGGAAGAAAAUGACUGUACCCGAAUAAGAAGGUCCGGCUAACUUCGUGCCAGCAGCCGCGGUAAUACGAAGGGACCUAGCGUAGUUCGGAAUUACUGGGCUUAAAGAGUUCGUAGGUGGUUGAAAAAGUUAGUGGUGAAAUCCCAGAGCUUAACUCUGGAACUGCCAUUAAAACUUUUCAGCUAGAGUAUGAUAGAGGAAAGCAGAAUUUCUAGUGUAGAGGUGAAAUUCGUAGAUAUUAGAAAGAAUACCAAUUGCGAAGGCAGUUUUCUGGAUCAUUACUGACACUGAGGAACGAAAGCAUGGGUAGCGAAGAGGAUUAGAUACCCUCGUAGUCCAUGCCGUAAACGAUGUGUGUUAGACGUUGGAAAUUUAUUUUCAGUGUCGCAGCGAAAGCGAUAAACACACCGCCUGGGGAGUACGACCGCAAGGUUAAAACUCAAAUGAAUUGACGGGGACCCGCACAAGUAGUGGAGCAUGUGGUUUAAUUCGAAGAUACGCGCAGAACCUUACCAACACUUGACAUGUUCGUCGCGACUCUAAGAGAUUAGAGUUUUCGGUUCGGCCGGACGAAACACAGGUGCUGCAUGGCUGUCGUCAGCUCGUGUCGUGAGAUGUUGGGUUAAGUCCCGCAACGAGCGCAACCCUCACUUUUAGUUGCCAUCAUUAAGUUGGGCACUCUGAAAGAACUGCCAGUGAUAAGCUGGAGGAAGGUGGGGAUGACGUCAAGUCCUCAUGGCCCUUACGUGUUGGGCUACACACGUGCUACAAUGGUAUCUACAACAGGAAGCAAGACUGCGAAGUUAAGCAAAUCCCUAAAAGAUACCUCAGUUCGGAUUGCACUCUGCAACUCGAGUGCAUGAAGCUGGAAUUACUAGUAAUCGUGGAUCAGCGUGCCACGGUGAAUGCGUUCCCGGGUCUUGUACACACCGCCCGUCACACCAUGGGAGUUGGUUCUACCUUAAGGCAAGGUUUUAAACCCUUGACCACGGUAUAGUCAGCGACUGGGGUGAAGUCGUAACAAGGUAACC